UACGUAGGGGGGCAAGCGUUGUCCGGAUUUAUUGGGCGUAAAGAGCGUGUAGGCGGCCAGGUAGGUCCGUUGUGAAAACUAGAGGCUUAACCUCUAGACGUCGAUGGAAACCAUCUGGCUAGAGUCCGGAAGAGGAGACUGGAAUUUACGGUGUAGCGGUGAAAUGCGUAGAUAUCGUAAGGAAGACCAGUGGCGAAGGCGGGUCUCUGGACAGUUCCUGACACUGAGGCACGAAGGCCAGGGGGAGCAAACGGG
rnacentral:rRNA from 1 species